rnacentral:rRNA from 1 species
UACAGAGGGGGCAAGCGUUGUUCGGAAUUACUGGGCGUAAAGGGCGCGUAGGCGGCCCGCUAAGUCGAACGUGAAAUCCCCGGGCUCAACCCGGGAACUGCGUCCGAUACUGGAAGGCUUGAAUCCGGGAGAGGGAUGCGGAAUUCCAGGUGUAGCGGUGAAAUGCGUAGAUAUCUGGAGGAACACCGGUGGCGAAGGCGGCAUCCUGGACCGGUAUUGACGCUGAGGCGCGAAAGCCAGGGGAGCAAACGGG